CCUACGGGAGGCAGCAGUGAGGAAUAUUGGUCAAUGGACGAGAGUCUGAACCAGCCAAGUAGCGUGAAGGAUGACUGCCCUAUGGGUUGUAAACUUCUUUUAUAGGGGAAGAAAACGUUCCACGUGGGGGAUUUUGUAUGUACCAUAUGAAUAAGGAUCGGCUAACGCCGUGCCAGCAGCCGCGGUAAUACGGAGGAUCCGAGCGUUAUCCGGAUUUAGUGGGGUUAAAGGGCGGGUAGGUGGAUUGUUAAGUCAGUUGUGAAAGUUUGCGGCUCAACCGUAAAAUUGCAGUUGCAACUUGCAGUCUUGAGUACAGUAGAGGUGGGCGGCCUUCGUGGUGUAGCGGUGCCAUGCUUCGCUAUCACG
rnacentral:rRNA from 1 species